CUCAAGGUCUGGGCCCCAGGGCCUGACGGUGAGUAUGCCCAUAAGGCCCACUCAUAAGUUCCACCCACCCAUAAGUUCGCUCACAGGGAGAGGAGUGUGUAGGGGAUGUGUUAUGUGUUAUUGUAGAGCAUCUAAUAUGUGUGCUUAUGGUAUGUAGUGUAUAGGGUUACCAGUUUGUGCAGGUGAUGUAGUGUGUUUGUGUGUAGUGGAAGCAGUGUGUAUUUGUGUAUAAGGGAUGUAUUAUGUGUUUCUGGUUGUGUGUAAGAGAUGCAUUGUGUUUCUGUGUGUAUGUAAGAAAAGAAGUGUGUG